ensembl:lncRNA OGFRP1 opioid growth factor receptor pseudogene 1
UGGCUUCAGGUGUUCACAUGGCAGUAAACGGGCCCCUGCUCUCCUGGGCGCCCCAGCGCGGCGCCCUCCCGCCCACAUCCCGGCCCAGCCCCGCUGGCCUCGCCUCCAGCCCGUAGCCAAGAGGCGAGCGCGGCCGGUGCCCCCGGGGCUGCCAGGGGCCCCGAAGCAGGCGGCGCUGACUCCCGGACGCCGCCCGCUCACACCCGCCGCCUUUGCACCCAAGGCCUCGCGCGACCAGCAGGGUCCCACAGAAACUUCUGCUCUCCAGGUUUGCCCCUCCACUCUGCCCUCCAGGAUAGAAGUGUGGCAUCCUAAUCUGGGAUGCAUCCAUCUCUCCCCCUGGACUGUGAGCAUAUGCAGGGCAGAGACACCUCUGCUUCUCUUGGGUCUCCGGCAUCCUGUGCAGGAUGGGGCCACUGAGGUGCAAAGAGUUUAACUUAUCCCAAGUCACACAGUUUGGAAGAGGCUGAGCUGGUAUUUGAACCCAGGUUUUCAGAGGCUGCACUCUUAACCACCAAGCUUCCCAGCACUCAGCAAACACUGGAAAGACAGAGAUGGACCUAGACAGUCAGUAGGACCAAAAGUCUGCAGGCCGAUAGGGAAAGAAUGUAAGAGGACGGCAUGGGCAGCGCCAGCCCCUCCAGCAGUCAUAUAUUAAGCCCUGGACACUGGGCAGCUCGGGCAGGUCGGGGGGCCUCAGACUCUCGGACCCCAUGCCUGGAAGACCACGGUCUGCCCAACAAGCAGCAGCUGCUGUGAAUCGACUUACACAUCUUCCCCACAGGUGAGCAGAGAGCUAACACCUGAGGAUAGGCCAAGAAACGGGAAGCCCGUGCAACCUGAGCGCACAGAUCACCCCCACCUGCCCGGCACUCACUGUCCCCAGUGGCUGGACUCUCAUCGGGCCAGUCACUGAGCUGGCGCCAGCCUGGUCUCACCAGUGUGUGUCUUUAAAUCAUCCAAUUUCUUCAGCUGUAAAUUGGGCUGGGAGGGGCCAGGUGAGCUGCCUGCCUCAGGGGAGUCGGCGCCCUUACCUGAGUGAUCCCAUUCACUCCUCACAACAAACCCAUGAGGCAGGGAUUGUCAUCUUCAUUGUACAGAGCAGGAAAUGGGUGCACACAGAGGUUAAGAGACUUGCCCAGGUCACACAGCUAGGAAGAGGCUGUGAUUUGAACUCAGUCUUCUGGCUCCAAAGCCCCCACAGAGUCACUCAGGGCACUACAAAGAGUUAACCUGAAUAUGAAAUGAUCUAAGAGUCGCAGUGACAAAGGCAUGCUCUAAGCGCUUUUCCUGCAGUAACUUGCUUAAUCCUUACAACAACCCUAUAAAGUGGGUACUGUUCUCGCCUCAUUUUGCAGAUGAGGAAACUGAGGCACAGAGCAGCUCGGAGGGGGCAGAGCUGAAUCUGACAGGCUACAGGGCCCCUGCGUUGCUUUGUUAUAAGAUGACAAUAAGGAAGUUCCUUUCCUUUGGGAUUAUUUCUGCCUGAAAGCUCAAGACUUUUAGCCACAUCAUUGUCUGGGCUCCACGGGAAGGCAGUGCCACAUGCUGAGGCAUGCUGGGAAAAGACUUUGUUCCAUCCUGUUUUGUUGACAUGCUCUUCAUUUUUAAGCCUGAAACCGAAGCUUCCUGCUAAGAAUUCAAACCAUGGAGAAAAACGCAGCCAUGAUAACGGCCACUACUUCCUGAGCCUCCAGUGUUCCCUGUGCUUGGGGAUCCAUAUAUGUCACUUAACCUUAACCUUCACAACACCAGGGCAGCCUCCAUUUUCACAAGUGAAGAAAUGGAGGCCCAGAGUCACUUAGAAGAUGCUCGAAGGUGCACAGCUGCUAAGUGGUGGUGCUGGGAUUUGUCCUCAGGUCCUCAAGAGUCCUGACUCUUAUGUGCUGGCUCCCCACGGAGGCGUGGAGUCUUGUUUGCUGGGCAUUUGACAGAAAUGUUUCUGCUCAUCUUCUGCCACAGGUUGGUCCUUCAGCGUCAAGAUUCCUGGGCCACUUAUUAAUAGAAGGCACCAGGACACAGGUGCAGGGAUGCAGAGCUGGAUGCUGCCUUCUCAAUAGGAGAAGCCAAGAAACGCAGAUGCCGAUGCUUAAUCAACUCCGUCUCUCCCUCUAGUGACUCGGGGAUAGCUGCCCUGAUGCCAAGGCGAUUGUCUUCUGGAAGCAGCCACGCCGUGUGAGGUUCCUCAUCACUGCCCUGCAUCUCCCUGCGAGCUCUCGGGGAUAAUUGCAAAAUCACGUUUGAUUCCAGGGGAGCAGAAAGCAGCAGGAGCCGUGAAUUCUCCAACUCUUAACUGGUCCUCGACUGGAGCCACUUUUCCCUGCCCACCCAUCCCUGUGGCGGAUUCAUUACAGUUAUCCAAAGCCGGUUUUAACUUUGCUCCCCCUGGCUCAGAAGUCUGUCAGUGGGUCCUGAGCGGCU